rnacentral:rRNA from 1 species
AACGAACGCUGGCGGCAUGCCUAACACAUGCAAGUCGAACGAGACCUCCGGGUCUUGUGGCGCACGGGUGCGUAACGCGUGGGAACCUGCCCUUAGGUUCGGAAUAACUCCCCGAAAGGGGUGCUAAUACCGGAUAAUGUCUUCGGACCAAAGAUUUAUCGCCUUUGGAUGGGCCCGCGUUGGAUUAGCUAGUUGGUAGGGUAAAAGCCUACCAAGGCGACGAUCCAUAGCUGGUCUGAGAGGAUGAUCAGCCACACUGGGACUGAGACACGGCCCAGACUCCUACGGGAGGCAGCAAUGGGGAAUAGUGGACAAUGGGCGAAAGCCUGAUCCAGCAAUGCCGCGUGAGUGAUGAAGGCCUUAGGGUUGUAAAGCGCUUUUACCCGGGAUGAUAAUGACAGUACCGAGAGAAUAAGCUCCGGCUAACUCCGUG